AUGACAUGGUUGACAAACGAUCCUCAUCCAACUGCUGAUUCUCCGAGAGAGAACGAGAUGAGGCACCAUGAUCACCAUCGAGCAAGGACGUCCAGCCGAGACACCCUCCGGCUCGCGCUUCUUCUCUUCCUGCUCCUGUCGUCCUCGCAGCUGCGCGGCGCGAGCUCUGCGCCCGGCGAGGCAGAGGCGCUCCUGGAAUGGAAGGACAGCCUGCCGCUGACCGCGGCCGCCGCGGGCGCUCUGGGCUCGUGGGACCGGGCGGCCGCCGCCAACUCCAGCUUCGUGGUGUGCUCGUGGCACGGCAUGACGUGCGACGUCUUCGGCCGGGUCGUCGGCGUCGACGUGUCCGGCGCCAGCAUCGACGGCACGCUCGACGCUCUGGACCUCUCGUCCCUGCCCAGCCUCGGCAGCCUCAACCUCAGCUACAACGCGCUGGUGGGAUCGUUCCCGUCGAACGUGUCCGCGCCGCUGCUUAACAUCACGUCGGUGGAUUUGUCCAACAAUAAUUUGUCGGGCCCCAUCCCGCCGGCCUUGCCUGCGUACAUGCCCAACCUCGAGCACCUCAACCUUUCGUCCAACCAGUUCGCCGGCGAAAUACCGCCUUCCGUCGCCAACUUGACCAGGCUUCAGAGCCUUGUUCUUGGCAAGAACAGUUUUUCCGGCGGCAUUCCGCCGGCGCUCGGUUCCAUCUCGAGGUUACGAGUGCUCGAGCUGCACAGCAACCCGCUGGGCGGCGCGAUCCCCGCCUCUCUCGGCAAGCUCCGGUCGCUGGAGCGCAUCAAUGUCAGCAUCGCUCAGCUGGAGUCCACCCUUCCGACGGAACUCAGCCACUGCACCAACCUCACCGUCAUCGGCCUCGCCGUCAACAAGCUCUCCGGGAAGCUGCCGUUGUCGUGGGCCAAGCUGAGGAAAGUACGGGAAUUCAACGUCUCCAAGAACAUGCUCACCGGGGAUAUCUUGCCGGACUACUUCACCGCGUGGACACGUCUCACGGUGUUUCAGGCGGACAAGAACCGUUUCAUCGGCGAGGUUCCCGCAGAGGUCGGCAUGGCGUCGAGGCUGGAGUUCCUCUCCUUCGCGACCAACAACCUCUCCGGCGAGAUCCCGGCGAUCAUCGGAAGUCUGACGAAUCUGAAGCUGCUGGACCUCGCCGAGAACGAAUUCUCUGGUACUAUUCCACGGACCAUCGGCAACCUGACAAGAUUAGAGACUCUUCGACUGUACAACAACAAGCUCACCGGCGGGUUGCCUGACGAGUUGCGGAACAUGAGGGCGCUGCAGAAGAUAUCCGUGAGCACCAACAUGCUCGACGGGAAGCUGCCGGCCGGGCUUGUCCGGUUGCCAAACCUCGUCUACAUCGUCGCCUUCGACAACUUCUUCUCCGGGACAAUCCCGCCGAUUUCCAGCCGGCAGCUGACCGUGGUAAGCAUGGCAAACAACAACUUCUCCGGCGAGCUGCCCCAAGGGCUGUGCUUGAGCGCCUCCCGCCUCAUGUACCUUGGCCUGGACAGCAACCAGUUCACCGGCACCGUGCCUGCUUGCUACCGCAACUUGACCAAGCUGGUACGCAUCAGGAUGUCACGUAACCGGCUUACCGGCGACGUGUCACAGGUCUUGGGAUUGCAUCCUAACCUUUACUACAUCGAUCUCUCCGGGAAUGCCUUCGGCGGCGAGCUCCCAGAGCACUGGGCUCAGUUCCAGAGCCUCUUGUAUCUGAACCUGGACCGCAACAAGAUCACCGGGACAAUUCCUCCCGGUUUCGGUGACAUGGCCGCACUGAAAGAUUUGAGCCUCGCUGCGAAUCACCUCGCCGGCGCGAUCCCCCCGGAGCUCGGCAAAUUACAGUUGCUCAAUGUGAACCUGAGGCACAACAUGUUGUCAGGUCCGAUUCCUUCGACACUAGGGAACGUCACAACCAUGCUGCUGCUGGACCUGUCUGGGAAUGAGCUCGACGGCGGCGUGCCCCUGGAGCUCACGAAACUGGACCGCAUGUGGUACCUGAACCUGAGCAGCAACAACCUCACCGGAGCGGUGCCGGCUCUGCUGGGCAAGAUGAGCUCGCUGAGCGACCUGGAUCUCAGUGGCAACCCGGGCCUGUGCGGCGACGUAGCCGGCCUGAAAUCCUGCAGCUUGCAUGCCACCGGAGACGGAGUAGGCUCACGGCGACACAACAUCAGGCUGGUCCUUGCUGUCGCCCUUUCUGUUGUCGGCGCGCUGCUCUUCUUCGUCGCUGCAGUGGCUCUCCUGCUCGUCCGCAAGAAUAGGCGAACCGACGAAGACACGGAGGAGACAACCGCGAGCGGCAGCGGCACGACGGAUCUGCAGGCGUCCAUAUGGAGCAAGGACGUGGAGUUCUCCUUCGGCGAGAUCCUGGCGGCGACGGAGCACUUCAACGAGGCCUACUGCAUCGGCAAGGGCAGCUUCGGGAGCGUGUACCACGCCAAAGUGCCCGGCGGCCACUCUCUCGCCGUGAAAAAGCUCGACGUGUCGGAGACAGGGGACGCGUGCUGGGGCAUCAGCGAGAAGAGCUUCGAGAACGAGGUGAGGGCCCUGACGCACGUCCGCCACCGGAACAUCGUCAAGCUCCACGGCUUCUGCGCCACCGGCGGCUACAUGUACCUGGUCUACGAGCGCGUCGAGAGAGGCAGCCUGGGCAAGGUGCUGUACAUGGGCGGCGAGCGCAGCGGCGAGAGGUUCGACUGGCCAGCCAGGAUGCGGGCGAUCAGGGGCCUGGCGAGCGCGCUGGCCUACCUGCACCACGACUGCUCGCCGCCGAUGAUCCACCGCGACGUCUCCGUCAACAACGUCCUUCUGGACGCCGAGUACGAGACGCGGCUGUCAGACUUCGGCACGGCGAGGUUCCUCGCCCCCGGACGCUCCAACUGCACCAGCGUCGCCGGCUCCUACGGAUACAUGGCACCGGAGCUCGCCUACUUGAGGGUGACGACCAAGUGCGACGUGUACAGCUUCGGCGUGGUGGCCAUGGAGAUCCUGACCGGCAAGUUCCCGGGCGGGCUCAUCAGCUCACUGUACAGCCUCGACGAGGCGCAGGCCGGUGUCGGCAAGUCGGCGGCGCUCCUGCUGCUCAGGGACCUGGUGGACCAGAGGCUGGACAAUCCCGCCGAGCAGAUGGCAGCGCAGGUGGUGUUCGUCUUUGUCGUGGCACUAUCCUGUGUCCGCACCAACCCCGACGCUCGCCCGGAUAUGCGCACCGUGGCUCAGGAGCUCUCCGCUCGCCGGAGGUCCACCUUGGACAAGCCGUUCACGGCGAUCAUGAUCGGCGACCUCGUUAGUUCGCGAGUAUGA
rnacentral:rRNA from 1 species